UGGGGAUUUUUGGGGUAAAUUUGGGGAUUUUGGGGGUAAAUUGGGAAAUCUGGGAAAAUUUGGGGGAUUUUGGGGAGAUUUUUGGGGAUUUUGGGGUUGAAUUUUGGGGGGAUUUCUGAGGAUUUCGGUCAAAUUUUGCCGGAAUUUUGCCUGAAUUUGAUCAAAUUUAUCACAAAUCCCUGAAUUUCCCCGAUUUUGCCCACAACCCCCCAAAUCCUUCCCCAAAUUCCCCCCAAAAUUCCCGCCAAAAUCCCGAAUUUUCCCCUCAUUUCCCGCCAAGUCCCCGCGAGGGGGCGUGGCUUCCUCCAAGCCACGCCUCCUCUCUCUAAGCCACGCCCCUUCACGCCAAGCCCCGCCCCCAGGACCCGCCGGAAGUGGCGCGGUUGAAGCGAUACCUCCGAGCCGCCGGGGGGCGCCCCAACUACAAGCAGCUCUUCCGGAAGUGCCGCAGCCGCCGCGAGGUGCUGGAGGCGCUGAGGGGAGCCCUGCGCGACCUGGGGCUGCGCGGCACCCCCUCCCUGGCCCGGUGCCGCCCGCCGCCCGCAGGCAAAAAACCAACUCCGCCCCGCCUCCAACAUCUUACCCGCGAGAUCCCGGCGGAGAAACCCCGAAAAUGCCCCAAAAUCGCCCCCGAAAUCGCCCCUUCCCCCCCCGGAUUGGUCGCGGCUCCGCGGCGUCGUCAGCUCGGACAGCGAGUGAAGGGAAUUUGGGACUUUUUUUUUUGGGGGGAAUUCUCGGGGUUUUGGGGUUUUUUUUUUUUUAACGGGCUCGGUGUUUGCGUUGUAAAGUUGUUGUAAAAAUUAAAAAGGUUGUUGUAAAAAUGGCUGGGAAAAUCCAUAAAAUGGCCCAAAAGUCGAUGUGAAAUUCCCUAAAUUCAGCCCAGAAAUGGCCCCAAAAUGGCUCAAAAAUACCCCAAAAAUCGCCCUAAAAAUGCCCCAAAAAUUCCCC
rnacentral:lncRNA from 1 species